ACAGAAGCAAUGUCAAUGUGAAGUCUAGCUUAAGACAAGCAGAUUCCACAAGAGCUUAUGUGAUGGAAAGUUCUUUCAGAAGUUUUGUAGGAUGUGAAAUUGACUACUACUGCUUCAGUGAGCUUCAGACAAGACCUGAACACCUCAGUCUACAAUGAAGCCUGAUGGGAGCCACAGUAUGAGUUACAGGAGAUGCAAGGCAGACAACUGUUGCACUGACUCCUGUGUACUUCUGCUGACUGUGAAAACUUCAUUGAGAACCUGUGUAUGCAUAGUUAAGGUAUCAAGACAUUGAUACUUACAGUGAGUAAUAAAGGCAUGAGUGGCAGUAUCACAGAAUCACAGCAUGGAUGAUGUUGGAAGGAACCUCUGGAGAUCUCGGCCAACCUCCCUGCUCAGUCAAGGUCAUCUACAGCACAUUACCCAGGAUGGUGUCAAAACAGCUUUUGAAUUUCUCCUGGGAAGGGACUCUCUCUCUGCAACCUUACAGCAGAAAAACUGGCUCUAGUGCUAAUAUUUGAACUCUAACAAGUAUAAUACUGUCAUGGCCUAAAAAUUAACAUGAUAUCAAAAUAAUUCUUGCUUUGGGCUUAGUUAGGUCCAAACCCAAACCAACUUCACUUUUCUCUAUCUGUAUGCUAUUAACAAGAUCAAAUACUUCAUUUUUCUUCAGUCUCACUUUAAACUUUUCUCUUACUCAAGAAAUUGAACUGUAUGUCAGCAUGAUGUAUUUAAAGUUAACAAAAGACUUUAAAGCACAGGAAUACACGGUAAUUCUGUCAUGUACCUUAGAAUAUUGUUAAUAUUAAAGAUUUUAAGUUCUUCAUCUCUAUGAUUCAUUCUCACAUUAAUAUAUAAUUCCUAUUUUUCAUUUGAUAUUACUUCUCAAUUUGUCUGAUAGCACUAGGUCAUAAAGUACUCAACUUACUGUUCAUUUAGAUUGCUUUAAAGGUUUAACCCCUCUGAUUUUAAAUUGGAAACCACUUUCAUGAACUCACAUGAUGGAAAAAGAAAGUACAUUUCCAUUUAGACCUACCUACACUGGUUGAUUUUUCAUAUUCACUGGCUUAAUAAUUAGGCUUUUUCACAGUGAAUAUGACUUCUUUGAAAGAACAUCGCCUUUAUAACCUCCAACUCCCUGAUAUUAGCAGGCUGUUUUUAGGAUUCUUACCAAGAAUCCUGUUUAUGCAACUACUGACAGAUAAUUUCAUAAAUACAUCGGCAACAAUUCACUAACGUGUGCAAACCUAAGCAUGGUUUUAUUUGCCAAUCCUUGGAUUCUAUUGUUUGAAUUUAUUACAUUGAAAAAUUUUACCUGUGACUGACUGUUUUCAGAUAUUAGUAAAGUAGACACUUGUAAAAAUACUAAUAAAGUUACAUAUCUUAUUUUAAAAAUACAGCUAUUAAA